AGCCACAGGCUUCAAGAGUCACCCAAGCUGAGCCAGGCUAAUGGAACCAGAAACAUCAUUCUGGCCCCAGAGAGCUGUGAAGGAAGCCCAAGAAGCCCUAGCUCUGCCCACAGCAAGCUCGCUGAUACCACAGAACCACUGGAGGCCACACUCUCGCCUGUGUCCAUUGACUCAGCUGCUAGUGGGGAUACCAUGCUGGACACGACAGGGGAUGUCACUGCGGAAUAUGUGAAGGAUUUCCUUGGGUGAGGCCAGCUGCCCUCUCCUAAGCCUCCAUUCCCAGGGCAACUUGAGGUCUUUUUACUCCAGCCCUUCUGAUUACUGCCCCUCCCCAGCUCUCCCGAGGACUCUGAGAAGAACCUGCGGAACCUGGGAGCAGAUGAUGCUGGUCGGGCCUACACCCUUCUGAUUGAAUGAGGUGCUGUGGGGCAGCUUGGCCUUAUCACACAGCGGCUGCCAUCCCUCCAGCUGGAACCCUGGCAGGCUUCUAUUAUGGCAUCACUCCUGGAAGCCUAGCAGCCUUCCUCUGGCUGUUAGGCCUAGGAGACUUAGUCAUGAUUAUCACAGUUCAGUGCUAGAAAGGACCUGGCCUGUCAGCAUUGAAGUCCUGUGCAUUAGAAGGCCACCUCUGACCCUGUGGGUGUAGGUGUAGGAGUUGAUGCUCCUCUUGUUCACAGAGCCCAUUUCACAGGAGUCACUGAGGCUGAUAGGUCUUGCCUAUUGAGCCAGCACAUGGACCAUAUGUGCCCUGACCAUAUCUUACUAUG
rnacentral:lncRNA from 1 species